UACGUAGGGUGCGAGCGUUGUCCGGAAUUAUUGGGCGUAAAGAGCUUGUAGGCGGUUUGUCGCGUCUGCUGUGAAAAUCCGGGGCUCAACCCCGGACUUGCAGUGGGUACGGGCAGACUGGAGUGUGGUAGGGGAGACUGGAAUUCCUGGUGUAGCGGUGGAAUGCGCAGAUAUCUGGAGGAAUACCGGUGGCGAAGGCGGCAUCCUGGACCGACAUUGACGCUGAACGGCGAAAGCUAGGGGAGCAAACGGG
rnacentral:rRNA from 1 species